ensembl:lncRNA
UUCAAAGAUUCUCAGUAUCAUUAUUCCCACUUCAAAGAUAGAAGAACAGACAAGUGAAAGAUUAACUGGCAGUUAUUGUUUAGCAUCAUGGGUCACAAACAAAUGAAGUUCAACUAAAAAAGAAACAACAAUGGAGGGAAAAACAACUACAUACUCCACACUAUUAGGCUGUUAAAAACAAAGUGGCACUGCUGUCUUUUAUGUAAGGAUCUUCAUCCAGAACUCCCGAAUUUGUAAAGAAAUUAAAAAGAAAAGCACUUCCUUCAUGCCACCAAGCAAGGAUGAUUUCCAGGUCCUGAUUUCCAGGUUUAAAUCUCAUGUCAGAAACUUGUCCACUCAACCUUUAUCUUUCCUUCAUUCAUGACACAUAAAUGUUAAUGGAAUUUGAAAAACUUGACAUUUUCAGAAGUUGCAAAAGCUCCUUCUAACUUAAAUGAUGUUUAUCACCUCAGGAAAAUUCCUCCAAAAAUCAGCAUGACUACCUUCAUUGUAUGUAAGUACAAACAAGCAUUUGCCCUAAUAUAUAGUUAAAAUUACAUCUUGAGUGAUUUAAAGUGAUUUAAAGUGAUACACUUAUUUUUGUAUAGCAGAGUAAUGCCCAUACAACCUCUCUGAAAUUUCUCUCAAUAUCAAAUAUCUCCCAAAAAGGGAAGGGAAGGGAAGGGAAGGGAAGGGAAGGGAAGGGAAGGGA